rnacentral:rRNA from 1 species
UACGUAGGGUGCAAGCGUUGUCCGGAAUUAUUGGGCGUAAAGAGCUCAUAGGCGGUCUGUCACGUCGGCUGUGAAAUCCCGAGGCUCAACCUCGGGUCUGCAGUCGAUACGGGCAAACUAGAGUAUUGCAGGGGAGACUGGAAUUCCUGGUGUAGCGGUGAAAUGCGCAGAUAUCAGGAGGAACACCGGUGGCGAAGGCGGGUCUCUGGGCAGUAACUGACGCUGAGGAGCGAAAGCGUGGGGAGCUAACAGG